AAGUUGGAAUUGCUGUAAUCGUGGAUCAGCAUGCCACGGUGAAUACGUUCCCGGGUCUUGUACACACCGCCCGUCACACCAUGGGAGCUGGUAACACCCGAAGUCAGUAGUCUAACCGCAAGGAGGACGCUGCCGAAGGUGGGAUUAGCGACUGGGGUGAAGUCGUAACAAGGUAGC
rnacentral:rRNA from 1 species